CUUUUUUUAAAUAAGAACAGUAAGAAAAUGACCAGGAUCUCCCGAAUGUUACAUUCCAUAUCUACUUUAAAUCUGGUAGAGAUCUGUACGAGUUCACUUUUGCAUUACAGUAAUAGGUAAUAAAUUUUGACAGAUUUUAUGACUCAUUGCAUUGGUUCGCAUUGAAAGUUGCGCGCAAAUUUGAGCUCACGGCGAAGGCCAAACACAGUGAGAAAAAUCGUUUUACUUCACUGCUCUGGCUGCGGUAAGGAUCAUGGGAAAUUGUGCAAGAGAUGCUGAAACUUGCCAUUCGUGUCUAACCAGCUUGAGGAGAUUUUACACAAAACUGUUCGAGGGAGGCAACGCGCCUUCGAUACCCGCGCACGACCGCCUUAGUAUCGUUAUUGUUAUUUUUAACAAAAGGGGCGGGUUCAGAGAGCCUCACCUGACCUGUCCUAUAAGCAAACAGUAUGACUUGACCACGCCCCCGCAGAGACCACGCCCCCCACGCAGGCCACGCCCCCGCAGGUGAGGGCUCCGCGUUCAGUUGCGGUGAAAUCUUCGGGUCAACAUGACGUGAGCGCUUGGACUUACUGCCGGUUCAGCACAAACUGUCACAAACACCUUUUUUAAAGCGUCGUUUUCGCGAUGGAGGACAAGCCAGGCAGCCCCAUGGCUGUGAAGGCUGAGGAGCAGACGGAGAGCGUCCUCUUCACCUACUUCCAGGGUGACAUCAACAGUGUGGUGGACGAGCACUUCUCUCGCGCUCUCAACAAGGCUCGCAAGCCUAAGGACCUGAGCGUUAAGGCCAAGAGCAUCCCCCGGACUCCCAAACCAGAAGUCUAGAUGAAACAUCCAAAGGUACGGACAGACUUACAGACAGAACGGCCUCAAGUACAGACAUACUUAUAGAUGAUACAGCCUCAAGAGCAGAAGAUCCAUCUCCAGUGCAGUGGGCCUUCCCAGCAAGCUCCUGGUCCGAUCCAACCUUCCCAUCAACCUCUUCUGGACACGUCCCGUUUACUCCUUUGGAGGACCCCUGCUCCGUUCCAAGAGUGAUAACAAACCCAGGUGGCCAGCCUUCCAAUCUGUGGCCCUUGCCUCCGAGAACAGGUGCUAGCCUGGGUCUUGCCCCCGUGAUGUACCCCCAGGCACUAUGUGGAGAGGGCCCGGGCCCCAGUGAGCACCACUACACCAACUCGUUCCUCAACAUGCUGCACAGCGACCGGGCUGUGAGCGGGAGUGCUCCGAGCUCCGCGUCCAAACCUGAUGUGGCGGCUGGCUGGUCUGCCCCUACGGGAUUCCGAGAUCCACUUGGUUCCGGGAUGAGCCUUGAUUCCGGAUUGCAAGUGCCAGAAAAGAAGAAGGAUCUAUAUUGGUAUUAAGGAUUUGCUUCAGUUUUGUUGGUCAAAGAACUGACUUCAUGUAAACUUUGUCUGCUCAGUGUAGAGCAAGACUCUGUUCUCCUUCCAAUCAAGCAACUUUGUGGACCUCAGCAGCCCAGAUAGAUGAGACUGUCGCAGCGUCUGCCUAGUAAAGCCACCCGAAUUUGCUCAACGCUGAGUUCCACGGAUGCCUGAGGGACGUUUAUCACCGGAGUGUGCAAUCUGCGCAAACAGCGGUGCCUGCAGACUUGCCCUACCCCUUGCCCCCACGGUCUGCUGUGUGGAAGAACCUGUUUGAGAACUAGAUUGUUGAUCUCGAGAGUGUCUGUAACUGGAGAUGGUGAGGAGCGGACAGGCAGAGUGAGUUCACCAGUACAGGAAGAAAGCAGGAUAGUCAUCACGCAAGUGAAAAUGCAUGAACUGCAGCCCUCUCUGACAAGCUGAAGACUUGAGAGUUGGUGGGUCUUUAUUCCACCAAGACCUGCUUGAUACAAGAUGGACAUCCAUGUUAAAUUUUACACAGAAAUCAGGAAAAAGGUCCUGUUAACGAUGUGUUCAUCCAUUCCUCGUGUGAACACUUAUGUUGAGCAUGUCUGUAUUGCCUAUGAUUUUUAUAUUCGUUAUUGAAUGCGAUUGUUGAUUUUACUCUUAAAGAAUUUAAAUGGUUCUCAUUUGUACUUAUUCAACAUUCCACAACAGAAAAUUGAUGUAAAAACUACAUGAGUAACUACAGCAAAGAUUGAAGGAGGGUAACUUGUUAAUCAAUUCUGCUUAUGUAUAUUGCAAUACCAUGAGGAGAUUUCUAACAUAUGGAGGAUCCCUGACACAAAACUAUCUGCCUUGAUGAGCUUUAUAACCAUCUGUGAGGGUAAGCCACAAAGUAUCUGCAGUAAUGAUUAUAAAAAGCUAUCACUAGUGAGGAUACUUUUGGACUGAGCCUCGUGUGUUUGCUUCAUUGACAAAAUACGUAAACUCUGCAGGUCUCAAUGGAAGCAGCAUGUGAAAACGUGCCGUGUUCAGGCCUCAGUAUGAUGAUUAUGGUGUGUACAAAAUGAGCAUUAUUUAAGAGGGACAACUGAGUAAGGCAGACAGUUCCACAUACCUGCUACAUGUAUAGGUUACAGCUGUUGUAAGCUACAACCGUAUUGGGGGUAUGUAUUAAUGUAGCAUUUAAAUUGCUUUUGUUGGACAGUCGAAAGUUUUUGCUGUUAAUGAGCACUGACUCUAACAUAAAUAAUAUGGCUAAUCUCGUUUGUGCCUCCGAGUAAUUUUUUCAAUUCAGUAUUUUAAUUUUAGGAGGGGUCCAGUGGCGCAAUGGGUUUGGCCUGCGGCUGCUCUCCGGUGGGUCUGGGGUUCGAGUCCCGCUUGGGGUGCCUUCCGAUGGACUGGCGUCCUGUCCUGGGUGUGUCCCCUCCAGCCUUGUGCCCUCUGUUGCCGGGUUAGGCUCCGGCUCCCCACGACCCUCUCUGGGACAAGCGGCUUCAGAUGGUGUGUGUAUGCGUAUUUUAGUUUUAUUUUUGGCAUGUGUAAAAAAAAAAAAAAAAAAAAGCACCCAUGUCUUGUAGUGUCAAGCAGCAGUGUUUCACUCCAGAAUUCACAAUCUUGAAUGACAAGAUUUCCAAAGUGAGAAAUUCUCAACAUCGUCAGGUACACUUGAAACUCAAUGCGUCAGAGGGCUGAAUAAACUUUGAGUCUGAGAAUGUCCCA
rnacentral:lncRNA from 1 species